rnacentral:lncRNA from 1 species
GGGUAGUGUGUACGCAGCCUUACCCCUACCCUGGGGUAGAGAGGCUGUUUCCAAAUAGACCCCCGGCAUAAAUCCCCAGAAUUUGCUCCUGGGAAGACUCGAACUCACAACCUCUCGGUUGUAAGUGAGGGUUGGUUACCAUCAGACCAAGCCCCUCUUGUCUGUGUAUAUAAAGACAAUUUAAGUUUAAACUUUCCAUUUACCUUUAGUGACAUAAUAUUAUAGUCACGGAAAUGUCAUGCCUUGUUUAAGAACACAAGUUCCAUAAGUCCUUUCUUAAACUUCGUGCCCCGUUAUACACCUUCACAUAAUGAAACAGACAAGUACACCAACAAUAACAACAACUAUCCAGUAAAAUAUCACAAAGUGGGGUCUGGGGAGCAUAGAGGCUAUUUCUGAUAGACCCUCGGCUCAGGAAAUGAAACAAACAAGUAUAUGAGAAAAAAUGUGAUUCCAACAACCUCUCAUUUUUUUUUUUUUUUUUUGUAUUUUAAACUUCUUAGACUUUCUGCAUUUUAACAAGAAUCAUUACUUCCCCUUAUCAUUAAAUUUUUUUUAUCAAUUUCCUCAAGAGUUCUUUAUGUGUAUUGAAUCAUGAUAAAAAGAAGUUUACCCCAAGUAAGUUGCAUUCUAGUUUAUAGGCAGCAUAGAGGGAACAAUCAUCCUAGAAACCAAAGGUGAUCCAUGUAUUAAGUACUACGUCUAAUUAGAUAAGAAAAAAGAAGGAUUAAGAAGCUCAUUAUGACAUCAAAUAGUAGAGGAAGCCAGUUAAUUUAGGAGAAGGAAAAGCGAUUGGAGAGCUUGGGACCUUAACCCACUAGUACAUGCGUGGAUCCUGUGGAAGGAAAGAAAUAGGAGAGAGUUCGAGAGGAUGGAGAAAGAUUAUAUACUUUUG